rnacentral:lncRNA from 1 species
AACCCCCAAUAACCAACUUAAUAGACAUUAAUCUAUCAUUCACUCGCCUAACCUCGACCACGGACUCCCUUAGAUCCCAAUCUACCAAGAUGCCCACUCCAUUCUUACCUCUCACGAUCCCAGAAUACCACAGCUUAAACCCGUCUACAUUCCUCGCCUUCGACCCUUUCCACCUAGUCUCCUGGACACAUGCUAUGUUAACCCUCUUCUUCUAAAGAACCUUU